CAAAUAUGACUAGAUGUUAUGUGUUUGAUUGAGUAUAAGAACUAGAACCGCAACAUCUUCCCAAAAGCUAAAGUUGUGUUUCCCUUCUAGAAGAUACAAAGCCAAAAACUCAUACGGACUUUGGCUACACCAUCAAAGCUUUAAGAAGCAACAAGAAGUUUCGUUAGUGUUUUGGAGUAAAAAAAGACUAUA
rnacentral:sRNA from 1 species